GCUACGGGGGGCAGCAGUGGGGAAUAUUGCACAAUGGGGGAAACCCUGAUGCAGCGACGCCGCGUGAGUGAAGAAGUAAUUCGGUAUGUAAAGCUCUAUCAGCAGGGAAGAAAAUGACGGUACCUGAGUAAGAAGCCCCGGCUAACUACGUGCCAGCAGCCGCGGUAAUACGUAGGGGGCAAGCGUGAUCCGGCUUUACUGGUUGUACAGGGAGCGUAGACGGCAGUGCAAGUAUGGAGUGAAAUCCGGUGGCUUAACCCCCGAACUGCUUUGGAAACUGUACGGCUGGAGUGCAGGAGAGGUAAGUGGACUUCCUAGUGUAGCGGUGAAAUGCGUAGAUAUUAGGAGGAACACCAGUGGCGAAGGCGGCUUACUGGACUGUAACUGACGUUGAGGCUCGAAAGCGUGGGGAGCAAACAGGAUUAGAUACCCCUGUAGUC
rnacentral:rRNA from 1 species